UCACUUUUCAAUAGGAUGGACUUUGAAGACUUGGGGUUGGUAGUAGAUUGGGACCACCACCUGCCUCCACCAGCUGCCAAGACUGUGGUUGAGAACCUCCCCAGGACGGUCAUCAAAGGCUCUCAGGCUGAGCUCAAGUGCCCUGCAUGUCUUUUGGCAUUUGAGGAGGAGGAGACUGCCAUUGAGAUGCCUUGCCAUCACCUUUUCCAUUCCAGCUGCAUUCUGCCCUGGCUAAGCAAGACAAAUUCUUGUCCCUUGUGCCGCCACGAGCUGCCCACUGAUGAUGACACCCAUGAGGAACACAGACGAAAUAAGGCUCGAAAAUAGCAGCAGCAGCACCGACUGGAGAACCUCCAUGGAGCCAUGUACAAGUGAGGAGGCUGGGGCUGAGCGCCGGCCUUCUGCGUCUUCCUUGCAAACCUUGAAUCCUUAUUAAAGGUUUC